rnacentral:rRNA from 1 species
GGAAUAUUGCGCAAUGGCCGCAAGGCUGACGCAGCGACGCCGUGUGGGUGAUGAAGGCCUUCGGGUCGUAAAGCCCUGUCAGGGGGGACGAAAUCUCGACGACCUAAUAUGUCGUUGCCUUGACGGUACCUCCAAAGGACGCACCGGCUAACUCCGUGCCAGCAGCCGCGGUAAUACGGAGGGUGCCAGCGUUGUUCGGAAUCACUGGGCGUAAAGCGCGUGUAGGCGGCCUUCUAAGUUUGAUGUGAAAGCCCGGGGCUCACCCCCGGAAGUGCAUUGGAUACUGGAAGGCUGGAGUACCGGAGAGGAGGGUGGAAUUCCUGGUGUAGCGGUGAAAUGCGUAGAUAUCAGGAGGAACACCUGUGGCGAAGGCGGCCCUCUGGACGGAUACUGACGCUGAGACGCGAAAGCGUGGGGAGCAAA